rnacentral:rRNA from 1 species
ACGGGUGCGUAACACGUAUGCAACCUACCCCUUACAGGCGGAUAGCUCGGGGAAACUCGAAUUAACCCGCCGUAAUAUAAUUGGAUGGCAUCAUUUGAUUAUUAAAUCUACGGAGGUAAAGGAUGGGCAUGCGUCUGAUUAGUUAGUUGGCGGGGUAACGGCCCACCAAGACGAUGAUCAGUAGGGGAACUGAGAGGUUGAUCCCCCACACUGGCACUGAGAUACGGGCCAGACUCCUACGGGAGGCAGCAGUAGGGAAUAUUGGUCAAUGGAUGGAAGUCUGAACCAGCCAUGCCGCGUGCAGGAAGAAGGCCUUCUGGGUUGUAAACUGCUUUUGCCAGGGGAUAAAAUGACCUUGCGAGGUUAAUUGAAGGUACCUGGUGAAUAAGCCACGGCUAACUACGUGCCAGCAGCCGCGGUAAUACGUAGGUGGCAAGCGUUGUCCGGAUUUAUUGGGUUUAAAGGGUGCGUAGGCGGCUUAUUAAGUCAGUGGUGAAAUACUCUAGCUCAACUAGAGGGGUGCCAUUGAUACUGAUGAGCUUGAGUACAGAUGAGGUAGGCGGAAUUGACGGUGUAGCGGUGAA